UGGGGCUCAUUCCACGAGUUCCGUGCCGCAGCUAACGCAUUAAGCGCCCCGCCUGGGGAGUACGGCCGCAAGGCUAAAACUCAAAGGAAUUGACGGGGGCCCGCACAAGCGGCGGAGCAUGUUGCUUAAUUCGAUGCAACGCGAAGAACCUUACCUAGGCUUGACAUGCACGGAAAUCCUCCAGAGAUGGUGGGUCCGCAAGGGUCGUGCACAGGUGGUGCAUGGUUGUCGUCAGCUCGUGUCGUGAGAUGUUGGGUUAAGUCCCGCAACGAGCGCAACCCUCGUUCUAUGUUGCCAGCACGUCAUGGUGGGGACUCAUAGGAGACUGCCGGGGUCAACUCGGAGGAAGGUGGGGAUGACGUCAAAUCAUCAUGCCCCUUAUGUCUAGGGCUGCAAACAUGCUACAAUGGCCGGUACAAAGGGCUGCGAUACCGCGAGGUGGAGCGAAUCCCAAAAAGCCGGUCUCAGUUCGGAUUGGGGUCUGCAACUCGACCCCAUGAAGUUGGAGUCGCUAGUAAUCGCAGAUCAGCAACGCUGCGGUGAAUACGUUCCCGGGCCUUGUACACACCGCC
rnacentral:rRNA from 1 species